GGACUACCAGGGUUUCUAAUCCUGUUUGCUCCCCACGCUUUCGCGCCUCAGCGUCAGUGUCGGUCCAGAGAGCCGCCUUCGCCACCGGUGUUCUUCCCAAUAUCUACGAAUUUCACCUCUACACUGGGAAUUCCACUCUCCUCUCCCGAUCUCAAGCCAACCCGUCCCAAGCGCAAUUCCCAGGUUGAGCCCAGGGCUUUCACGCCUGACAAAGCUGGCCGCCUACGCGCCCUUUACGCCCAGUAAAUCCGAACAACGCUCGCCCCCUUCGUAUUACCGCGGCUGCUGGCAC
rnacentral:rRNA from 1 species